GAUGAACGCUGGCGGUAUGCUUAACACAUGCAAGUCGAACGGACUCUUCGGAGUUAGUGGCGGACGGGUGAGUAACGCGUGUGAAUCUGGCUUUGGGUUCGGGACAACCACUGGAAACGGUGGGUAAUACCGGUUGUGCCGAGAGGUAAAAGAGAAAUUGCCUGUAGAUGAGCUCGCGUCUGAUUAGCUAGUUGGUGAGGUAAAGGCUCAACAAGGCAGAGAUGAGUAGCCGGUAUGAGGGGAAGACCAACAACACUGGGACGAAGACGCAGCCCCAGAUGCUACGAGAGGCAGCGGUGAAGAAGUUGCCGCAAUAGGCGAAAGCCUGAGGGUACAAUAACGCGAGAGGGAAGAAGGCUGUGGGGUUAAAGACCGCUUUUCGUAGAAAAGAACAAGAUGACGGUACCUAGCGAAUCAGCUGCGGCUAACUCCGGG
rnacentral:rRNA from 1 species